UGCUGUUGGUGAUGAUUUUUGAAAUUAAAAACAGAUGGGAAUCUCUCUGAAAAAGAAUGAAGUUCUCUUUAAUAACUGAAACAGUA